AUACGUAGGGUGCGAGCGUUGUCCGGAAUUACUGGGCGUAAAGAGCUCGUAGGUGGUUUGUCGCGUCGUCUGUGAAAUUCCGGGGCUUAACUCCGGGCGUGCAGGCGAUACGGGCAUAACUUGAGUACUGUAGGGGAGACUGGAAUUCCUGGUGUAGCGGUGAAAUGCGCAGAUAUCAGGAGGAACACCGGUGGCGAAGGCGGUUCUCUGGGCAGUAACUGGAGUUGAGGAGCGAAAUCAUGGGAAGCGAACAGGAUUAGAUACCCGGGUAGCCCAUGCCGUACACGGUGGGCGCUAGGUGUAGGGGUCUUCCACGAUUUCUGUGCCGUAGCUAACGCAUUAAGCGCCCCGCCUGGGGAGUACGGCCGCAAGGCUAAAACUCAAAGGAAUUGACGGGG
rnacentral:rRNA from 1 species